rnacentral:rRNA from 1 species
CGCAUCUGUGCAUGCAGCAUAUCAAUAAGCGGAGGAAAAGAAACUAACAAGGAUUCCCCUAGUAACGGCGAGUGAAGCGGGAAGAGCUCAAAUUUGAAAUCUUAAAGGGUUUCCCUUUACGAAUUGUAGUUUAAAGAAGUGUUUUCUGUUGAGGUUUUGGUAAAAGUUCUUUGGAAUAGGACAUCAUAGAGGGUGAGAAUCCCGUAUUUGACCUUUACUUUCAACUUUGUGAUACACUUUCAAAGAGUCGGAUUGUUUGGGAAUGCAGUCCAAAAUGGGUGGUAAAUUCAUCUAAAGCUAAAUAUUGGCGAGAGACCGAUAGCGAACAAGUACCGUGAGGGAAAGAUGAAAAGAACUUUGAAAAGAGAGUUAAACAGUACGUGAAAUUGUCAAAAGGGAAGCGUUUGACACCAGUGUUGUUUUCCUGAAAAUCAAUUAAAGAACUGUUUAUGCUAAGUUGUUUAGACUUUAUCAGCUAACUGUUUAGUUUUGAGCUUUUCCUUAAUGCACUUUUCAGUUAACAAGUCAACAUCAAUUUCUUUUGCUGUAAAAAAGCUUGAGGAAGGUGGCUUGAGAUUCGUCUUAAGUGUUUAUAGCCUCUUGCCUAUGCAGUCGGAGAGAUUGAGGUCUGCAGCGUAGAUCCUUCGGGGCUAAAUGCAUUUGUGCUAAGUUAUAACAUUUUAUAGACAACUUGUUGACUAUGAUUUGUCUUGUAGCUUACUCGCUUAUGUUAUUUUACCUACGCUUAGGAUGUUGACAGCAGUAUAGACUGU